GAUGAACGCUGGCGGCGUGCCUAAUACAUGCAAGUAGAACGCUGAAGGAGGAGCUUGCUCUUCUGGAUGAGUUGCGAACGGGUGAGUAACGCGUAGGUAACCUGCCUGGUAGCGGGGGAUAACUAUUGGAAACGAUAGCUAAUACCGCAUGACAACAGUUAUUGCAUGAUAACUGUUUAAAAGGGGCAACUGCUCCACUACCAGAUGGACCUGCGUUGUAUUAGCUAGUUGGUGAGGUAACGGCUCACCAAGGCGACGAUACAUAGCCGACCUGAGAGGGUGAUCGGCCACACUGGGACUGCGACACGGCCCAGACUCCUACGGGAGGCAGCAGUAGGGAAUCUUCGGCAAUGGACGGAAGUCUGACCGAGCAACGCCGCGUGAGUGAAGAAGGUUUUCGGAUCGUAAAGCUCUGUUGUAAGAGAAGAACGGGUGUGAGAGUGGAAAGUUCACACUGUGACGGUAUCUUACCAGAAAGGGACGGCUAACUACGUG
rnacentral:rRNA from 1 species